rnacentral:rRNA from 1 species
AUUGAACGCUGGCGGCAGGCCUAACACAUGCAAGUCGAGCGAGCGGCGGACGGGUGAGUAAUGUAUGGGGACUGCCCGAUAGAGGGGGAUAACUACUGGAAACGGUAGCUAAUACCGCAUACUAUCGGAUAACCCAUAUGGGAUUAGCUAGUCGGUGAGGUACUGGCUCACCUAGGCGACGAUCCCUAGCGGGUCGGAGCGGAUGAUAAGCCACACUGGGAGUGAGACACGGCACAGACUAAUACGGAGGCAGCAGUGGAGAAGAGUACACAGUGGGAGCAGGCCUAACGCAGCCCAGCCGCGUGGAGGAAGAAGGCCCUAGGGUUGGAGAGUACUUUCAGUCGGGAGGCGUUACCGAAAGAAGAAGGACCGGCUAACUCCGUGCCAGCAGCCGCGGUAAUAC